AGCGCCCACAGGAUCUGUCAGGAGCCAAAUCUCCCUGCAGUUUGCCAAGAUUUUAAGCAAAUUGAGCCACUUGGUUUCCACAGCUCAUUAAUGAAGCUGAGCACCUGGGCAGGAGCUCUGGAGCCAGGUAACAGAUUUACUGCUGGGAGAGCAAAGGAGAGUGAGGGUGGGUUUAACUUUCUUCUUGUCUGUGGCUGCUGCCUGGUGCAGUCUCUGCGGAGCAGAGCAAUCACAUCCUCCUCCCACACACACGGAAACACCUUCUGAGGGCACCUCGAGGCAACGCAGGAAGAAUUCUAGAAGUGCUACCAUCUAAUAACAGGAUGAUUCUUCUUGCUGUUACCGGUUGUGGGUAGUAGGUUGAGCUGGAUGAGAAAUAAUUUUCCCAUAACAAAGGAGUUUUGCACCCAGAACUCUCCUGAAAUAUGAACUUCAAGCAAAUUAAUGAGUCAUUGUUUCAGUGCUGCCCUGACUGCACAGUGCCCCUCACUCAUACGCAGAUACCUGGCUUCACUGAAUGGGGAGAACUUGAACCUGAGAGCUGUGGCUGUGCUGAUACGUUCCUGUUGGCAACCUGACACGGGUACCUUGUCCAGCACGGUGUUCAUGGAACCAGCUGCACUGUGCCACUGCCAAUUUAGGGAUUUAUUUGUAAAAGACAGAGAAUAUGAACAUCACAAAGAGUCAAAAAACUGUCUGUGCCACAGCUUCUAGCAUGAAUAGUCAGACCUGAUUAGCAAUGGUGAUAUUGUAAAAACCCUGCCAUAUUCCCAACAUAUCUUAUUUUCUGCUGAAGCGAGGAAAUACGCCAGGCUGCUCCCGAGCCUCCCAAGACUCUGAGGAGUCAUUCUGGAUGUAGUGUUAAUGGUUUGCUCUUUGUCUUGCUGCAUUAGCCCAAAAGAAAGAGUAUGAUAAAGCAUGCUGGAGCUCACCACACAAAGGCUACAUGUCUGCUGGGCAGAAAAUGAGACAUACAGGAAAAAAGAAAAGCAAAGAAGUUCUGCAAGCUGCUGAAUAGUGCUUUUCACUGCUACCCCCUUUAGCGGUCUAGGUAGAGAAAAGCUUGUGGGAGGCAAAUGGAAUAAAAAACUAGAACUGGAAAGAAGCUGCACAAGUUUAUAGCUGGAGAAAGUGGGUUUUACAUCCCAGCCACCAACAAUGAGCCUUUGGAAAAGGCCAGGGCCUCCGCUCCUGCUCACAGUCCCAGCAGUUGACAAAGACUGAUCAUUAUGUUAUCCGCCUGUUAUCUUGACCUGUGUCUCAGCCUGUGCAGUUGAAACGUGUAUCCAGAUGUCACAACUAACAGCUUACUGCAAUUUUCAAGUGAAAGGGCUUUUUUGGGCUGUUUCCACCCCUCCCCGAUUGUGAAUUUUGGAGUUGCUUUUGUGUGCAUCAUGGUGACAACAAUAAUGUAAUUGGUUGCUGCCGUUACGCUGCACUCCGUUCAAUUAAGACAGUGUCAUAUCUAAUUUAUGCAUUUCAUUCAGAAAUCAAGGAAUGGGCAUCGCAGCAAUUAUUAAAUACAAAUAAGAAGCCAAUGUGGAAACACCUGACACACCACGGUCACAUGUUUGAAUGUGUGAGACAAGGCAAAAGCCGCCAAACUUUUUGUUUGUUUGUUUUGUUUUCUGUGUUGCUCAUAGAAUAAAUUGUGCUGUUCACCUAGUUUUCAUUUUUCCUGUCAAGAAGCUGCCAAGGUUAUGGGAGAUACUGGGGGCUAGAGGAGGGAUGCUGGCAGGUUGUAGCAAUAAUAAGCUUGUGCCCUGUUUGAGAGCCAACAACCUGCCAGGGACGUCCCUCCAGCUCAGCCACUGUCCCCCUGCUCCUCAGCCCUGAGAGUGGAACCUGCUCUGCAGCCCGGCCUGGGGACUCAUCCCUCUCAGGAGCCUGAACUCAAUGAUUCGGUGCUUGAAGACAGGGAAUAUGAAAAAACUGCAUAGGCACAGAGUGGAAUCUAUUAGUAAAUGAGCAGUUACAGCCAUAAGGAAAAGGAGAAAUGAGACAGGCAAUGCAGUGAAACAACGGGAGAGGAUGGGGGAAGGGCAGGAAAGCAGAGGAGAUUUUGCUGUAAAAGCCACCUGCAGACACACAUACAAAAGAAAUGAGAACAAGACAGACAAAAGAAGACUGGGAAGUCAAGGGAGAAAAAAAGGAAAAUUCAGAGCAAAAUAUAAUAAUAGCUGAGCAUUUUCAGAUACUCAAGAGAAAAAGAUAUGCCCUGAGCUGACGAAAAUUGAAAAUAAUAGCUAUGAAAACAGGAUAGAUAUGAGUGAUUAGAGAAUACCAUCUAAAAUUGCUCCCCUCCCAUCCCUAACUGCACUGCCACCAACAUGCAGAUUUGCCUCUUUGUUCUUGAGUGUAUUAUACUUAAUUAUAAGACUAGCUCAUCCAGCAUCACAGAUCCAUACAACCACAAUUCCUACAAGACUAACCAACAAACUGCAGGUGCUAUUGCUGAAAAAUCCCAGAGAUGAUGAAAGCUGUGAGAUUUCAACAACUCGACUAUGCCUGCAAAGUAAUUCAUUCCAGACCAGCUCCUCCCUGGAUAAUAGGAUUGUUCUCCAUUCUUGGGACUGAUCCUCCUGUUGGGGUGAAACUCAAAUCCUUGGCCUCUACACUUGCUCUUGCCGCUCUGUAGGUUGUCCCGAUGUGGUUGAACUGACCUUCUCCGAGGUUUUGUGUGUGUGUGCAUUUUCCUACGCCUAGAUAACCUGAGUUUUUUCUCUCUUUGUAGGUAUUGUAUUGCCAUUGUCAUUGUAUUUUUAUUUUGAUUCUUUGCCCCUUCCUUUGAAUUUGCAUUAAAUGUUUUGUUUUCAAGGAUAUUCUUACAUCUAGAGCAUCAUUACAUGCAGGAGUGUACAGGGUAUGUUCUGCAACAGCUGGUAUGUCAAAAUCAGGCUGCGCACCCAUUAGAUUAUUUGUGCAAAUAUAGACAUACACGUAACACAUGUGGUCCUUCCAGUUUAGGGGCCACUCUCUGUCCAGUACAAGAUGUGUGACGGGAGAGUGCAAGGGCCCCAAUGGUAUUUAUAUGCAAAAUGGUCUCUGAAAGGUGUGUGCUUACCCUUGCACUAGGGGUUAUGCGCCAAAACAGCAAUCUUCUUAUACCCUUUGGUUUGCAUUAACUGUCAUAAAUCUGCAUGGUCUUGUUCUCCACAUAGUGGUAAAAUGGUAUUUCAGCUCUUGUUAAAUUAACGGCGCUCUGCAGCAACAUUUUCCACAGCCUAG